rnacentral:rRNA from 1 species
UACGUAGGGGGCAAGCGUUAUCCGGAUUUACUGGGUGUAAAGGGAGCGUAGACGGUACGCCAAGUCUGAAGUGAAAUGCCGCAGCUUAACUGCGGAACUGCUUUGGAAACUGGCAGCCUCGGGUUCGGUAGGGGAGAUCGGAAUUCCCGGUGUAGCGGUGGAAUGCGCAGAUAUCGGGAAGAACACCGAUGGCGAAGGCAGAUCUCUGGGCCGCAACCGACGCUGAGGCGCGAAAGCUAGGGGAGCGAACAGG